rnacentral:misc_RNA from 1 species
CACAUUGUUGCCCUUGUCUGACUCUUCCAAGCACUUUCUACGCGCUAAUUAUCAUGCCUUCCGCAGCGACGCUCUCGAUCGACGCGCACAAGUGGACUGAGACGAUCGAGGCGGCAGGCACUGACUGCCUCUGCUCUGCUGUCUCUGCGAAGAACGUUACCCAUGUCCUGUCGACCGCCACGGUGCGAGCGCCGCAGAAGCAUCUUUGCGCCGCGGUGAGCAACUUUGUGCCAGCGAUGCUAGAGAACCUUCACGGCGUCUCGAUCUUGACAGCGCUGGUGCGCUAUGGCACCACGGCGACCGUUGAGCAAAUUGCCAGCAAACUCAGUGCAGCGGACGAGGGCGUAUGGUCGUUCAUGGCUGCUCCAAAGAAGGAGCUGACCAAAUGCCUGUCGCACCUGCUUGAGCGGAUGGUGUACCGGGAGGACUGCACCGGCGAGUCCUACAACGCACUUUUGGGCCGGCUGAAGGCUGUCAAGAAGCAGUCGCUGAUGACCUCUUCCUUUACACUGCCCGCCGCUGCUCGCCUCGCGCUGGUGGAUGACGCAUUUGCUACAGGGCUCCUGUCCUCGAGUGAAGCGCAGAAGGCGUUGGGCAAGUCGUUUCAGCACGCCGCCACCGCCGCAGCCGCGGAGGAGUUUUGCCGCAUACUAUUUGAGAGGCCAAAGGACAACGCGGCCGGUGACUUUGUUUGGAAAGCUCUGGCGGCUAGCAUGAAGGCAGACGCCAAGGCGCACCCACGCGAGGCCAUUCUCGCCCUCCUCGCGGCGCACGGACCCGUGCCGCUGGUGAACAAGAUGGCCGACGCGAUGGCACAGUGGUCGACGGUGCGCGAACUGUGCACCCGUGACUCUUACGCGCACAUUGUCGCCCGCCUGCUGGAGCGCUGCGACGACGAGAGGGCCGGCAACAGGUUGGUCGCUGCCGUCAUCAUGCAAGAGGCGGACGUGACAGAGCGGGUGGGCGCGCGCAAGGCGGCCCAGCACCAUCUCCUGGCAGUGCUCGCAGCGAAGUCCAGCUACGCGCAGACCCUAGAGAAGCGUCUUGGUACCUCGCAGACGAAGCGCCUGGCGGCGGCGAAGGUACGCUUCGCAAACGCCACGCAGUCGAAGGCGACCACGACGCAGCAGGCGAUCCUCGAGAAGCUGAAGAAGCUACACAGCACCACCACUUCCUCCGUCGCCGGGACGAAGCGCGCGCGUGAGUGACUUCUGCGCGAAGUGACGGGAGGUAGUGGCGACGGAACCAUUGUAGUUAUUCGAUGACCGUUUGUGGUUUCUUUUUUUCGAUAAGGUAUGCCGAUUCCAUUAAUGCGCGCCUCCCGCAUCCUUCCCCUCCGUGUGCAGAGCGCCUCUUAAGAUUUCGGCAGCACGCCGAAAACAAAACAUAGGCAGCGACAUGCGCACAAACAAACGGAAGCCUCAGGCCGUGCGCGGCGUGGCAAGACGAAAGAAGACGAAACAAAAACAGGGCGGCGUGCUGGUGCAGCUGCAUUAGUGUGUGUGUGUGCGCGCGCGCCCGUGUACGUUCUCCCCUCCACUUCCCGCAUCGCCUUCCCACGACUCUUCUCUUCCUUUUCUUUUCGUUUCUGUCGUUCCGCUCACUGCGCAUGAGUGUGUGUGGCCGUACAAG